rnacentral:rRNA from 1 species
GAUGAACGCCGGCGGCGUGCCUAAUACAUGCAAGUCGAGCGAACGGACGAGAAGCUUGCUUCUCUGAUGUUAGCGGCGGACGGGUGAGUAACACGUGGAUAACCUACCUAUAAGACUGGGGUAACUUCGGGAAACCGGAGCUAAUACCGGAUAAUAUUUUGAACCGCAUGGUUCAAAAGUGAAAGACGGUCUUGCUGUCACUUAUAGAUGGAUCCGCGCUGCAUUAGCUAGUUGGUAAGGUAACGGCUUACCAAGGCAACGAUGCAUAGCCGACCUGAGAGGGUGAUCGGCCACACUGGAACUGAGACACGGUCCAGACUCCUACGGGAGGCAGCAGUAGGGAAUCUUCCGCAAUGGGCGAAAGCCUGACGGAGCAACGCCGCGUGAGUGAUGAAGGUCUUCGGAUCGUAAAACUCUGUUAUUAGGGAAGAACAUAUGUGUAAGUAACUGUGCACAUCUUGACGGUACCUAAUCAGAAAGCCACGGCUAACUACGUG